GUUAGUGGCGGACGGGUGAGUAACGCGUGGGUAACCUGCCUUGUACUGGGGGACAACAGUUGGAAACGACUGCUAAUACCGCAUAAGCGCACAGCUUCGCAUGAAGCAGUGUGAAAAACUCCGGUGGUACAAGAUGGACCCGCGUCUGAUUAGCUGGUUGGUGAGGUAACGGCCCACCAAGGCGACGAUCGGUAGCCGGCCUGAGAGGGUGAACGGCCACAUUGGGACUGAGACACGGCCCAAACUCCUACGGGAGGCAGCAUG
rnacentral:rRNA from 1 species